UAGGGUUUGAUUUAGGAUUUAGGAUUUAGAUUAGGAUUUGAUUUAGGAUUUGAUUAGGAUUUUAUUUAGGAUUUAGGAUUUGAUUAGGAUUUGAUUUAGGAUUUAUGGAUUAAUUAGGAUUUGGUUUAGGAUUUGAUUUAGGAUUUAAGAUUUGGAUUAGAAUUUGGUUAGGGUUUGAUUUAGGGUUUAGGAUUUGGUUAGAAUUUGGUUUAGGAUUUGGUUGGAGUUUGAUUUAAGGUUUGUUUAGGGUUUGAUUUAGGAUUUAGAUUUUUAUUAGGAUUUAAGAUUCAAUUAGUUUUGGCCUAAAGUUUGAAUGAAGUUCAAUAGGAUUUUAACUAGAAUUAAAUUAAGAUUGAAUUGAGAUAUAUUUGACUGAUAUUUGUAAUCUUUCUAAUAUUUCUUUAAGAAUUCUUAUUGUUUGUUUGAAAUUUCUUUGAGGUUUUUUUGAAUUUGAUUAGGCUUGCUUUGUAUUAUUAUGGUCUAAUUAGAGCAUUGUUAGUAUUCUAUUAGAAUUA
rnacentral:lncRNA from 1 species